UACAGAGGGUGCAAGCGUUAAUCGGAAUUACUGGGCGUAAAGCGUGCGUAGACGGUUAUGUAAGUCGGGUGUGAAAUCCCCGGGCUCAACCUGGGAAUGGCAGUGGAAACUGGCGAGCUUGAGUGUGGCAGAGGGGGGUGGAAUUCCGCGUGUAGCAGUGAAAUGCGUAGAGAUGCGGAGGAACACCGAUGGCGAAGGCAACCCCCUGGGCUGACACUGACGCUCAGGCACGAAAGCGUGGGGAGCAAACAGG
rnacentral:rRNA from 1 species